AGAGUUUUUUUUAUAUUAUUGUUAUGGUUUGCAAAGGUUUGGAGAGAGGGAGAAUAAUGUUUUUUUAUAACUAUUUUGUUGCUAUGAUUUCAAAUAGAGAACGCGUGAGAAACGAAAUGGAGAGAUCUGAGUUUUUGACUUUUUACCCCUUGUGUCACGUGUCACAUUUUUGUCGGGGGGCUUGGAAAUUUUGAAAAGAAAAACUCAAAUUCUCUCUCUGUUACACUAUUCAUAAAUCACCCCACUCAUGUUUUUUUCUAUCUU
rnacentral:lncRNA from 1 species